AUAACACCUCUAGCCAACCGACUUGUUUGACUACAGGGGCUACCCAAAAUGUGUCCUUUAACAACGUUCGUAUAUCGCUAGCUACUGUAGGUGUACAAAACUCACAAAGUUUAUUUAUUUGACCACUGACAAUCCUGUAAAACCUUAGCUAACAUCUAUAUCAACUCAAAGUUGGAAUUCUAUCCUAUUUAAUUGUCUAUUUUCUUUUGUUUUUUGAUGGCAUGCGUUUGAAGUGUAUGUAGUUGAAUGCAUUGUAUGAUAUGUGACAACCUGAUGGUCAUUGAGGGCAAACGUGUCUUUCUAUGUAAACUGAAUUUAACUGCAUAUGAAAUAAUAAUCACCCUACCCAUAACCCCCAAACCCCCCACUGCUGUCCUUCUCCUAGCAGACCUAUCAAGCAAACGUAAGUUCCUUUAUAUGUAUCUAAUACGGUUAUGCUGUCACUUGUCACUGCACUCAUCAGUCAUGAUAAUCGUUUUUUUUCUUGCUUCCUAAGAUGGAAAAUUCAAGGUUCCGUUUCACGCCCUCACAGGAGUUGGUCCUCAAGGCCACACCCCAGGCAGUAAGAGUGGCUGCUGACGGCCCCCCUGCUUCUGGUGCCCAGGGCCCUCCUGUGAGGGCUAAGAAGUGGGAGGAAGUGGAGGCAGAGGCUCGAGCCCGCGUCGUCUCCGAGGGAGGUGACCCCGGUGCAGAGAUGGUCAUCCUGAGCCGGUGCACUGUUCAGUUCGGGGCAAGUACCGGGGUCAGACCUUCAAGUGGAUGAUAGAGAACGACGUGGGCUACAUGGUGUAUGUGGUAACAGUGCAUCAGAAGGAGAGGGAAUGAGAGCGCAGCGUUUCCCAGCAUCCCCUGAUGGGCCAACAGGGACGCCUUGACUCGCUACUCGGGCGCCGAUCCGGCCUUCGCUGAGAUGGUCAGGUUCAACCGGGCGCACGAGGAAGCUAAAGUCCUGUCCUCCCAGCCAGGCCAGGAGGGCAAGGCCCUUGUUGGCAUCGGGAAGUACAAGUGGGACUCGCUGCAGGACCUGUAUGAGACUACGGGUGCAGACAGGAUAAGAUAUGUCAGGAGCUGAGGACGCAGACACCCCGUUAUCCUGGGAGUGCGAUGCGCCUUAUUGACUACAUUCAGCGC